rnacentral:piRNA from 1 species
UGCAUAGAGAUUGUGUAGUCCUUCUAGUA